rnacentral:rRNA from 1 species
UACGUAGGUGGCAAGCGUUGUCCGGAAUUAUUGGGCGUAAAGCGCGCGCAGGCGGCCUUUUAAGUCUGAUGUGAAAGCCCCCGGCUCAACCGGGGAGGGUCAUUGGAAACUGGAAGGCUUGAGUGCAGAAGAGAAGAGCGGAAUUCCACGUGUAGCGGUGAAAUGCGUAGAGAUGUGGAGGAACACCAGUGGCGAAGGCGGCUCUGUGGUCUGUAACUGACGCUGAGGCGCGAAAGCGUGGGGAGCAAACAGG